UCCUACGGGGGGCAGCAGUGGGGGAUAUUGCACAAUGGGGGGAACCCUGAUGCAGCGACGCCGCGUGGGCGAUGGAGUGCUUCGGCAUGUAAAGCCCUAUCAGCAGGGAAGAAAAUGACGGUACCUGACUAAGAAGCCCCGGCUAAAUACGUGCCAGCAGCCGCGGUAAUACGUAUGGGGCAAGCGUUAUCCGGAUUUACUGGGUGUAAAGGGAGCGUAGACGGAAUUGCAAGUCUGAUGUGAAAAUCCGGGGCCCAACCCCGGAAGUGCAUUGGAAACUGUAUUUCUAGAGUGUCGGAGAGGCA
rnacentral:rRNA from 1 species